UACGAAGGGUGCAAGCGUUACUCGGAAUUACUGGGCGUAAAGCGUGCGCAGGCGGUUCGUUGUGUCGGCGGUGAAAGCCCCGGGCUCAACCUGGGAAUUGCGAUGAAGACUGCAAGGCUUGAAUCUGGCAGAGGGGGGUAGAAUUCCACGUGUAGCAGUGAAAUGCGUAGAGAUGUGGAGGAACACCGAUGGCGAAGGCAGCCCCCUGGGUCAAGAUUGACGCUCAUGCACGAAAGCGUGGGGAGCAAACAGG
rnacentral:rRNA from 1 species